UCCACAGCCAUAUCACCCUGCAGCCCAAGACUGGUUGCCCACUGAAGCUAAGCAGGGCUGAGCCUGGUCAGUACCUGGAUGGGAGACCUCCUGGGAAAACUAGGUUGCUGUUGGAA
rnacentral:rRNA from 1 species